CUUUUAAAAGCGCUGAUUGGCCACUGGGGGCGGGAGGGCCUUUUUCGCCUCCGAUUGGUCGAUGAGUGGCGCUGUCGGGCUGGCAGGAGCGAGAGCGCGCCGGUGGGGUUACCGGGGCGGGUGGUUGUGUGCGCGUUCACGCGCGCGGUCCUCGGCCGCUCUCCUCCUCACUCGCCCGGCAGCGCCAUGACAUCCCGGAGGUGGUUUCAUCCUAAUAUAUCUGGGAUUGAAGCAGAACAUCUCUUACUAAACAGAGGAGUUCAUGGGAGCUUCCUAGCACGACCCAGCAAAAGCAACCCUGGGGACUUCACUUUAUCAAUCAGACGAAAUGUAGAAGUGACACAUAUAAAGAUUCAGAACUCAGGAGACUAUUAUGAUCUUUAUGGAGGAGAGAAGUUUGCAACGUUGGCAGAAUUGGUUCAGCAUUACACAGAACAAGAAGGUCUUCUACGAGAGAAGAAUGGAGAUGUGAUUGAACUGAAGUAUCCCCUGAACUGCCGAGACCCAACAUCUGAAAGGUGGUAUCACGGGCAUCUAUCAGGUAAAGAUGCAGAGAAACUUCUGACCGAUAAAGGAAAACCGGGAAGUUUCCUAGUGCGUGAAAGUCUCAGUAAACCGGGGGAUUUUGUCCUGUCGGUGCUAACCAAUGAAGAAAAAGUAGAAAAUGGAGAUCGCAAGCCAAGAGUAACUCAUGUGAUGAUUGGGUAUAAGGCUGGAAAGUAUGAUGUUGGUGGAGGUGAAAAGUUUGACACACUUACUGAUCUAGUGGAACACUACAAAAAAAACCCAAUGGUUGAAGUUUCUGGAAUUGUUGUUCACCUCAAACAGCCAUUUAAUGCCACAAGAAUAAACGCUGCGAACAUUGAGAAUCGCGUGAGGGAGCUCAAUAAAACAGCAGAUAACACAGAAAAGGCCAAGCAGGGUUUUUGGGAAGAGUUUGAGCUUCUACAGCAACAAGAAUAUAAACUGUUGUACAGCAGGAAGGAAGGCCAGAGAAUAGAAAAUAAAAGCAAAAACAGAUACAAAAAUAUCUUACCAUUUGAUAAUACCAGAGUUAGGCUGAAGGAAGUCGAUGAAAGUGUAGUGGGAUCUGAUUAUAUCAAUGCUAAUAAUAUCACAAAUGGGAAAAAUGGAGAUGACUGUAAAAACUACAUUGCAACACAAGGCUGCCUUCAGAAUACCAUCAAUGAUUUUUGGAAAAUGAUUUACCAGGAAAAUGCUCAUGUUAUUGUCAUGACAACCAAAGAAAUAGAAAGAGGAAAGUGUAAAUGCGUUCGCUACUGGCCAGAUGUCAAAACGUCAACAGAGUACGGCAUGAUAUCUGUGCGGAAUCUGGAAGAACGCAUGGCACAAGAUUAUAUUGUACGAGACCUGGAGGUUAUGCGACGAGACCGGAAUGAACGUCCUCGGCACGUAUGGCACUAUCAGUACCUCAGCUGGCCUGACCAUGGGGUUCCCAACGAACCAGGAGGAGUAUUAAGCUUCUUGGACCAAGUAAACAGAACACAGCAAAGUAUCCCAGACACUGGGCCUAUUAUAGUGCACUGCAGUGCUGGAAUAGGGAGAACAGGAACUAUAAUUGUCAUAGAUAUGUUAAUAUCUGACAUCAGCAGACAAGGUUUGGACUGUGAUAUAGACAUCCCAAAAACGAUUCAAAUAGUACGAAAACAACGAUCAGGAAUGGUACAAACCGAGGCUCAGUACAAGUUCAUAUACAUGGCUGUACAGCAGUAUAUUGAAACAGUGCAGAGGAGACUACAGGAAGAACAGAGAAGCAAAAUAAAGGACAGAGAGUAUUCAAAUAUCCGAUAUCUUCCUAUGGAGGUUAAGACCAAAAGACAUGCUGGCACGUCUCGAGAUUUUUCAUCGUUGAAUGAAGAAUCAUCUUGUCUUUAUGAAAAUUUAAACAUCAAAACUUCCAAAGCUUUAGGAGGCAGCAACACAAAACGAUAAAAGCAUCAAGUGGACUGGCUAAUUACUCCUGUUUACAUGAAGCUUCAGCCUGCAUUGAAAAUAAUUUUACCCCAACUUGUGUCUGGAUCCUUGUGCACUUCUACCAAUCAAAUGCCUGAAGAAAACUGCCUUCUAGAAAUGGUUUAAUUUAUUCCCGUCACCCCUACCGGAACACAGACUGCUGACAGCUGCUCACCAGAGUCCUCAGUGCUGAGACAGUCUUUCAAGUUACCCCCAGGUGUAGACCAUCUUACAUCUUCCAGGUGAAGGUCCUUCCACUCCCAGGGAUGAAGCUUUUGGAGUUUCUGUUGGUUUCUGUUUUUGUAGCUCUGGGUUAUUACGGGAUGAGGUUGCUAGUCAUAUGCCAAACUAUCCUCCUUUCACAGCCAGGCUUGGAACCGUACAUGGGGCAGAGUUAAAGAAAAUCUCAGUAACAUGAUAUUGUAGACCAAUUUACUGUAAAUCCUGAACCUUUCCUUUUUAAAUUUUAGUAUCCCUGCUGAAAGAAUGUGUGUUCAUUGGAUGAAAUUUAACUGAAGGCCUGCUUUAUGUAUCAGUUGAUUUAAUAUUUUCCAUAGUUCUUCUCCUUAGCUGAUGCUCUAAUAAUACUGUGGUCAGGAUAAUUUGUCCAUUCCUCUAUAGUACUAUUGGUUUGAUAUAUAUUUUUACACACAGUUUCUGCCAUUGAACUGCAGAAUAAACAUUUCUCUUUUUUCA